rnacentral:rRNA from 1 species
CAGUCGCCGCGGGAAUACGUAGGUGGCAAGCGUUGUCCGGAAUUAUUGGGCGUAAAGCGCGCGCAGGCGGAUAGGUCAGUCUGUCUUAAAAGUUCGGGGCUUAACCCCGUGAUGGGAUGGAAGCUGCCAAUCUAGAGUAUCGGAGAGGAAAGUGGAAUUCCCAGUGUAGCGGUGAAAUGCGUAGAUAUUAGGCAGAACACCAGUGGCGAAGGCGACUUUCUGGACGAAAACUGACGCUGAGGCGCGAAAGCCAGGGGAGCGAACGGGAUUAGAUACCCCAGUAGUCCCUGUCUCUUAUACA